GGUGGCAUCUAAAGAUCAUAGAAAGGGCGAGAUUCAGAGAGGAAUGGAGUUUGCUGUUGAAAGAUCCAGAAGAUGAUGUUUCUGGUGUUUAAUUAGAAGACAAUGAGUUUGAAGAUAUCGAUGGAUUCACUGAUUUUGGAAUGUAAUUUGGGCUGUUCUUCUCAGUCGAAAUCAGAGUUAGGCUUUAAGAAUGGAAGAAAUUGACUACCAAAAUGAAGAAAUCUUGGUAAGAAUUAAGAUGGGUUUGCUGCGAUUUAUUGAUGCUGAUGAUUUUCAUGGGUUUGAUAUGCAGAAUGAGGUUUGCUGUGAAGAUCUCAGAGAAGGAUUGACUGAAGAAUUCGGGCUAAUGGGUUGUCGAAUUAGGGUUUGAAUCACUUAAUUUUUGCAGAGAGAUGAAGAAUGGGAUGUUGUCUGUUUAUGAAGUUGUUAGGGUCUGAGAGAAGACUCAGAUGAGAUGGUGGUUGUUCUCAGUGCAGUGAAGAUAUUGGAUUUAUCUUGGCAGUAUUGGCUUGAGAAGAAAGCUGGUGUUGUAGCUGAAGCUUAGUGAAAACUGCAGGCAGUGUUGCAAUGGGGAUGAUGGGAGUAUGAUGGCAGAGAAGUUAGUAACUGCAGCUGUUGAAAUUGUUGCAGGGAAGCUACAGAUGGUGCAGUCACUAGUGGUGGAUGCUUAUUAAUAUGGCAUUGCAAGAUGAGCUACAGUGUUGAUCUUCCGUGGAAACGGUGAUUGUCAUGGGUUGCUGGUGGCUGAAUGUUCAAGCAACUGGUGGUGUUUGUGUAUGCAGGUAUAUGCAAUUGGGGUAGUGCAGGCAUGAAGUGAAGCUGUUGUUGCUGUGAAGUUGAGAAGGAGAUUAUGAUGUUGUCGCUAUUCAAGUGACAAUGAGGUAUAGGCCGGUGCGGAUGCAGUUAGGGACAGUGCUUAUGGAGAAUGGCUAGUGGUGUUGUGGCCUGGAGUUGGUGGUGAAAUUCAAAAGCUGGAGGCUAUUGCAGUUGCAGGAUUGUGGAACUCAAGGAACAUCGUGGUCCUGGAAGAAUGAGAUGAAGGUUGCUGCCAAGGAUAAGGAUGGCUUGAGUACUAGGAGCAAAGCUGAGAUGAACUGAGCAUAUGGGUUUGUUUGAGUUUGCAGUUGCAAGUGGACAUGGUGCAGGGCAGUUUUGUACAGCUGAGGUUAUUGGUUGGUUGCGAUUGGUUGCAGAGAAGUACAAUAAAAUUGUAGUACAUGGUUGCUGAUGUUGGUGGUAGCCUUAGUUGAGCAGUUUCAGGUAAAGCUACAGGUGAAGAUACAAUUCAAGUUGGUUCUUGGUAUGAAAUGGAGUUGCAGCUGAGCUGGUGAUGAUGUUGUGGAUGGAGUCAGAAAUUGCAGUCAAGAGCAGUGACAAGGAAUGGAGUAUAUGAAGCUGCUGCUGGUAAAUGGUUAUGUUAUGAGUCUGGUGCAGUUCAAAGCAGAGAAGGGUGUUGUCGCUGUGACUGAUCUAGAUUGGAAUUAGGACACCCUAGCGAUAUGGGUUUCGGUGGUAGAAUUCAGAGAAGGAGUUGUGUGAUGCCUGAGUUUGAGCAAGAGUUGCAGCUGAAGUUUGCACUGUCAGUUCCACAAAACUGACAGGCAUAGCAGUCAUGGACCUGAUGGGUUCUUGAAUUAUUGGGCUUGUUCUAAUUAUUGGGCCAGGAUUCAGUCGAGCAAAGAGAUUGAAAAGUUUUGGACGGCUCGCAUUUGGAAAGGGUUACAGAAAGAGAAGGAUAUAAAAAGAAAUACCAAUAUUAUCUUUGCUUCUACUUUUGUUCUAGGGUUUAGACAUGAAAUUUUUUCUCUUUCUUCUUGUUAUGAACUCCAUGAACAUGAGCUAGAUAUUUUAUUAUUGGUUAAAGAUGUAGUCGGAUUUUGCAAGCAUGUUAUUUAAUUUAUGAAUUAGUUUCCUCUCAAAA